rnacentral:rRNA from 1 species
GACGAACGCUGGCGGCGUGCUUAACACAUGCAAGUCGAACGGAAAGGCCCCUUUGGGGGUACUCGAGUGGCGAACGGGUGAGUAACACGUGAGUAACCUGCCCUUGACUUCGGGAUAACUUCAGGAAACUGGGGCUAAUACCGGAUAGGAAUCCUUGCUGCAUGGUGGGGGUUGGAAAGCUUCGGCGGUUUUGGAUGGACUCGCGGCUUAUCAGCUUGUUGGUGGGGUAGUGGCUUACCAAGGCUUUGACGGGUAGCCGGCCUGAGAGGGCGACCGGCCACACUGGGACUGAGAUACGGCCCAGACUCCUACGGGAGGCAGCAGUGGGGAAGAUUGAACAAUGGGCGGAAGCCUGAUGCAGCAACGCCGCGUGCGGGAUGACGGCCUUCGGGUUGUAAACCGCUUUCAGCAGGGGCGAAGCUUGUGGUGACGGUACCUGCAGAAGAAGCACCGGCUAACUACGUG